rnacentral:rRNA from 1 species
UACGAAGGGGGCGAGCGUUGUUCGGAUUUACUGGGCGUAAAGGGCGCGCAGGCGGUUCUGUUUGUCGAGUGUGAAAUCCCCGGGCUCAACCUGGGAAUUGCAUUUGUGACUGCACGGCUAGAGUGUGUCAGAGGGGGGUAGAAUUCCACGUGUAGCAGUGAAAUGCGUAGAGAUGUGGAGGAAUACCGAUGGCGAAGGCAGCCCCCUGGGAUAACACU